UGGAGAGUUUGAUCCUGGCUCAGGAUGAACGCUGGCGGCGUGCUUAACACAUGCAAGUCGAGCGAUGAAGUUUCCUUCGGGAAACGGAUUAGCGGCGGACGGGUGAGUAACACGUGGGUAACCUGCCUCAUAGAGUGGAAUANCCUUUCGAAAGGAAGAUUAAUACCGCAUAAUGUUGAAAGAUGGCAUCAUCAUUCAACCAAAGGAGCAAUCCGCUAUAAGAUGGACCCGCGGCGCAUUAGCUAGUUGGUGGGGUAACGGCCUACCAAGGCGACGAUSGUAGCCGACCUGAGAGGUGAUCGGCCACAUUGGGACUGAGACACGGCCCAGACUCCUACGGGAGGCAGCAGUGGGGAAUAUUGCACAAUGGGGGAAACCCUGAUGCAGCAACGCCGCGUGAGUGAUGAAGGUUUUCGGAUCGUAAAGCUCUGUCUUUGGGGAAGAUAAUGACGGUACCCAAGGAGGAAGCCACGGCUAACUACGUGCCAGCAGCCGCGGUAAUACGUAGGUGGCAAGCGUUAUCCGGAUUUACUGGGCGUAAAGCGCACGCAGG
rnacentral:rRNA from 1 species